GAUAAACGCUAGCGGCAGGCUUAACACAUGCAAGUCGAGGGGCAGCAUAGAUUGUAGCAACACAAUUGGUGGCGACCGGCGCACGGGUGCGUAACGCGUAUGCAACCUACCCGUCACAGGGGGAUAAUCCGGAGAAAUCUGGUCUAAUACCCCAUAACAUAUGGAUCGGCAUCGGUUCAUGUUGAAAUUUUCGGAGGUGACGGAUGGGCAUGCGUAGCAUUAGCUUGUUGGUGAGGUAACGGCUCACCAAGGCGACGAUGCUUAGGGGGACUGAUAGGUUGUCCCCCCACGCUGGUACUGAGACACGGACCAGACUCCUACGGGAGGCAGCAGUGAGGAAUAUUGGUCAAUGGGCGCAAGCUUGAACCAGCCAUGCCGCGUGCAGGAUGACGGCUCUAUGAGUUGUAAACUGCUUUUGUACGAGGGUAAAGUGGGUUACGUGUAACCUUUUGAAAGUAUCGUACGAAUAAGGAUCGGCUAACUCCGUGCCAGCAGCCGCGGUAA
rnacentral:rRNA from 1 species